rnacentral:rRNA from 1 species
UACGUAGGUGGCAAGCGUUGUCCGGAUUUACUGGGCGUAAAGAGCGCGCAGGCGGUCGUAUAAGUCGAAUGUGAAAGCCCCCGGCUCAACUGGGGAGGGUCAUUCGAUACUGUUCGACUCGAAGGCAGGAGAGGGAAGUGGAAUUCCGGGUGUAGUGGUGAAAUGCGUAGAUAUCCGGAGGAACACCAGUGGCGAAGGCGACUUUCUGGCCUGUUCUUGACGCUGAGGAGCGAAAGCCAGGGGAGCAAACGGG